AAGGGUAGAUAGAUACCCUAUAAAAGGGAGACAUUGAGGAGUGUUCGCGCAUCCCACCUCAUCCCACACAAGUGUAUUUCUUACUUAACUGUGUCAUCCUUCCCAAGGUGGCGUCUAGAAACCCUAUAUUCAACAAAGAAGUCUUGCGCUACAUUCAUAAAAAUAAAGGCUGAAGGAAUGAGUCAAGAAAAGAGCACAUGAUCCAUAGGAGAAGUGGGGAAGCAUUCUUAUGUCAAAGCAUGAAGUCGCAUGGGUUCACAGUGCAAUAAUUAUCCCACACGGAAAUUUUACCAUGCCCACACACUUUCUAGUUGGGUACCAAAAAAUUAGAGCUCGAUAUAAAAGGAAAAUGAGGACCCAACCGUCACAGACAGAUCCCAGGAGAGCAAUAUUUCUUACGCGUAACUAAAGACAAGGAAGGGAAUCACACGUUUUUGGGAAGAAGUUGACAAUAGAAGGAAGAAGCUGUCGACUUCAUGUUGCUGUCGACUUUUCAGGCUGCGUUUUUGUUUUCUUCUUAAAAAUGAGUUGCUUCUUUUACUUACCCAUUUCGUUUUCCUCCUCCCUUAUGAAUUAAACCCCAUUU